CGGCCACAUCACGUUAAAAUACCGGUUCCCGUACGGACACUGAAGUUAAGCAACGUUGAGCCUGGUCAAUACCUAAAUGGGCGAGCGCUUGAGAAUACCAGAUGCUGUAG